rnacentral:rRNA from 1 species
CCGAUUCCUCUCCGCUCCCUCCUGUGCAGCCGCCGCGACCACCCGCGUCCUCCCCCCGCAGCUGGCGCCCUCACCAUCUCCCCACCCAUCUCUCUCUCCUUCCCUCACCAUCUCCCCACCACCGACGAGCUCCUCCCCUCUUCCUCGCCCCAGAUCGACCAGCAGGGCCGGAUCCUACCGCCAUUCGUGCAUCUCGCCCUCGUCACCGGCCGCCGCUG